rnacentral:rRNA from 1 species
UACGAAGGGAGCUAGCGUUGUUCGGAAUCACUGGGCGUAAAGCGCACGUAGGCGGAUGUGUCAGUCAGGGGUGAAAUCCCGGAGCUCAACUUCGGAACUGCCUUUGAUACAGCACGUCUUGAGUCCGAUAGAGGUGGGUGGAAUUCCUAGUGUAGAGGUGAAAUUCGUAGAUAUUAGGAAGAACACCGGUGGCGAAAGCGGCCACCUGGACUGCACCUGACGCUGAAACGCGAAAGCUAGGGGAGCGAACGGG